AGGAGCGCAACUUUAAACUCGUCUCUCUCCUUCUGUCUGUCUGGGAAUUCAGCGCGUGUACUACAGCGACAGGUUCAACUAUCGAGUCCAAGACUGUAACACUGGAAACGCGUCCAAUUUUUUCCAACAAGGACUUUGAAUCCACGAGAGAAGAAGAAGCAGCAGCAGCAGCAGCGGAUGAAACAGAUUUCACUCCAGAGACACUGACGGGAAAAAUUUAAAGACUCUCUGCAUCAACAGGACAGCCCAGAAAGCAUGGUUUAAAUGUGCACAGCAUUAUGGGUCCCACCAUACAUCCCUACCCGGAGUGUUGCCAAACGAUGGUGUCAAGAGGUCAGGAUUCCCUUCUGUCGUCUGGGAACUCCUAUUUAGUUCCACACUGAGCUGGCACUCGUCUUCCUCAGUGAGUUGGACAUGAACAUAAGCAUGAUUUCUAACGGAUCGUGCAAUGACACUCUCACCGUGAAUGAAAGCGGCAAGCCAUUCAUAAGCACCGUCAUGUUUCUGGCUGGUGUGGUGGGGAACCUCCUGGCCCUCUUCAUCCUCGGGGUGCACCAGAAGGAGCAUCGCUCCAGGUCCUCGCUGUUCUGCAUCCUGGUGACUGGCCUGGCCGUCACCGACCUGCUGGGCACGUGCCUCCUCAGCCCGCCAGUGUUCAUCUGCUACGCCCUCAACGUGUCACUGCUAAGUCUGGGUGGCAAAAGCCUGUGCAACUUCUUGGGCUUUGCUAUGAGUUUCUUCGGCCUGGCGCCCACACUCAUUCUGUGUGCAAUGGCUGUGGAGCGCUGCCUGGCAAUUAGCCACCCUUAUUUCUAUGCUGUACACAUCCGUCGCAGCUUUGCCAAAAUCACGCUUGUCUUUAUUUAUCUAUUUUCUUUGGCCUUCUGCCUCCUGCCAUACACCGGAUAUGGCAAGUUCAGACAGUAUUGCCCCGGGACGUGGUGCUUCAUCGACAUGGACGCGACAGGGGACGAGCAGGCCAACUUGAUGCUGGCCUUCUCUCUGUCCUACUCCUCGCUCAUGGCGCUGCUCAUCUUUGCAGUGUUUGUGUGCAACGGCUCAGUGAUUGUCAGCCUGUGCCAGAUGCACCGGAGCCAGAUGAUGCGACGCGGCUCGGUCGUGUCGACUGGGAGAAAGAAGAAGUUGAGCCUGACCUGGUUCGGACGGGGAGAAGAGGAGAUGGACCACCUGGUGCUGCUGGCGCUCAUCACUGUCAUCUUUGUUGUCUGCUCCCUCCCGCUCACGAUUGCUGGUUUUAUCAAUGCCAUUCACCCAUUUUCUGGCGACGCAACGAACCUCACAGCCUUCCGCUUCUACGCUCUCAACCCCAUCGUGGAUCCGUGGGUCUUCAUCAUCUGCCGCAAGUCCGUGAUCCGUCACCUUUGCUCUCUGCUGAGCUGCUCCUUUGGCAAAGAAGCCGUGAAGACAACGGCACACUGCGCUCUGUCUUUGCCCCUUGACAAUCACAUACAGCAUAAUUCCCCCGACGUGACAGUUUCCCAGUCCCCAUACUCCAGUUUACCUCUGUGAGAGAAAUCCUUGCCUGAGGAGACUGAGGAGUCUUUCAUUUCUGAAGUACAAGGCGAGAUUAAAAUAUAAACAUGCCAACAAAGAAGUAGCAGUCAUUCUCGAUGAACUCGCGGGAAACAAUUGCACUAGGUCUUAAAUUGUCCGCGGAUGGUCAAAGUGCUACUGUAACGUAGCACUAAUGGACACAUCAAACCAUAUCAUCACUAUAAAUCAUAUACUGUAAAAUCAGAAUGUAUGCACUCGGGUAAAGCUAUUAUGGGUGAACAAUAUGCAUGCGUGUUCUGUCUUCUUUUUCUGCCUCAUCCAAUCAAUUCUUUUCUUUAGGAUGCAGCCAGCUGGCUUUUAGCUGACCUGUGCACAGUUACAGCAUCUUUGACACUGGCGACACUUGACAUGAAGAGGGACCUGGAAGGACAAGGCUCGAUGGCGUGUUCAUCAUGAUCGGAAUUAUAACGUCUUGUUAAAAGGUGGCUUGCAGCCGCAGUGGCUUUAACAGCUGCAAAAUGUGUUCCACCAAUCAGUGUUCUUCAGCACACAGCCCCGCCCCUAAGAGUUCCUGGUAAUCUGAAAAGUAGGUACUUUUUUUCUGUGAAAGUUUGGGGUCACGGGAAAGUUUUUCUCUAAUUUCGGUGGAAACACGUCAAGGUUUUUCAAAAUCCCAGCUAAAUGAGAUAAGUCCCUGUGGUGGAAAAAGGGUUUGAGACCUGAAUGAUGAGGAACCUUCACAGACAAACAUGAAAACAGUGAAUUGUUUUAAUUCAGGCUAAUGUUUGUAUUUGCAACUUUCAAAAUGUAGCUCUUAUCCUGUGUCCCAAUCCUAUAUGUGAGACUAUUCUAAAGCCUCUUAAGGUUUUUAACUCAGUUUAUCUACUCGUCCUGUUUGGUCUAUAGUGUCAUUGUAGUGCAUGAAUAUUAUUCCUCCUCACUUAUUUCUAAGCUACCUAUGAUGAAAGUCCUUUUAAUAGCCUUUUGCUUUUGAAGAAAAAAGAAAAACUGCUGCUGCUAAACGCACUGUGAGAAUGAUUUUGUUGUUGUGACUAAUGCUGUAACUAUAAUUUAAAUGUGCAUUAUUUAUGUCUUUCCACUGUGCUGUGAUGUUGUGCAUCCUCAUGAUUUUGUGGUUCAUACAGUGAAAUAAUAGAGGUAAUAACGUGGUGAUUUGAGUUUCGAAUUUCUUGCCGUGUUGCACAUUCAUUUCUUGCUUAUUGCCUGUGAUGCUCAGUCUUGUCUGACCUGGCGUGAAUCACUGGCACUUUGUGUUCACUUUGAGCAAAGGUUUUGAGUUUUAUAUCCAUGAAUUAAUUAUAUAUAUAUAUAUAUGUAUUUUGAAAGUAUACAGCACACCUUUUGUUAAUGUAAAAUAAAACUUAUAUAAAAAUAUAAGCAAAAAAAUGGUUGCAACUUGUUCCAACAUAUCUUUGUUUUUCUGAUUUGUAGUGUAGCCAUUUGUGAAUAGUGAAAUGUACAUUUAUGAAAAUUUGAUAAAGUGUUUCAAUUUAUUAAUUGUCAGAUAACAGUUAACGUUGUCAGAAUAAAAGAAUUGAUAAUGUU